AGCGAACGCUGGCGGCAGGCCUAACACAUGCAAGUCGAACGGCACCACAGUAAGAGCUUGCUCUUACGGGUGGCGAGUGGCGGACGGGUGAGUAAUACAUCGGAACCUACUUUUUCGUGGGGGAUAACGUAGGGAAACUUACGCUAAUACCGCAUAUGACCUACGGGUGAAAGCAGGGGAUCUUCGGACCUUGCGCGAUUGAAUGAGCCGAUGUCGGAUUAGCUAGUUGGCGGGGUAAAGGCCCACCAAGGCGACGAUCCGUAGCUGGUCUGAGAGGAUGAUCAGCCACACUGGCUCUGAGAAACAGUCCAGACUCCUGCGGGAGGCAGCAGUGGAGAAUAUUGGAGAAUGGGGGCGAGCCUGAUCCAGCCAUACCGCGUGGGUGAAGAAGGCCUUCGGGUUGUAGAGCCCUUUUGUUGGGAGAGAAAUGCAGCAGGUUAAUACCCCGCUGUUCUGACGGUACCCGAAGAAUAAGCACCGGCUAACUUCGUG
rnacentral:rRNA from 1 species